ACUUAAAUUGAAGAGUUUGAUCAUGGCUCAGAUUGAACGCUGGCGGCAGGCCUAACACAUGCAAGUCGAACGGUAGCACAGAGGAGCUUGC
rnacentral:rRNA from 1 species